UUUUGUAUUUAAAACGAGUUCACUUUUUAUUCUUGACAUCAAAAUGAAUGAAAAUAAAUUUUGCCAAGAUUUGGAAGAUGUAGCGAAGUUUAUCUUCUGCAAAAUAAACAAACAUUAAAACGAUACGAGUAAAUGUGGCAAAGAGGAAUCAAAACAUGCAUGUUAAGAAUGAAAAUUGCAAAUUGAAAGGAGAUAUAUCUUUAAAACUGCGCAUUUGAAAAGCUGAAGAAAUUUAAUAAUAGAUUUAUUAUACUUUAAAACACAUAAAAGUUUGAAAAACGGUUAGAGCUCAUUACUGCACUACGAACCUAAAAGAUACAAUUAGAUGGUCUAUGUAAUGCUUGUAAAAUUCAGUACUAACAGUUUUAUAUUUUUUACUGCUUUUUUUGAAAAGAAAUACUGUAUCAAUCACGAGUUGCUCAAAGAAGAAGUUUUAAUAAUGAGCAAAUAAUGAUAUAAUUAAUAAUGAAAUAAAAAAUAAUAAGCUUUUAAUUUGCGAAAUAACCACGAAGACAGACGAUACUUGAUUAAAAAUUCUUCGAUAAGUUGUUCAAUAACAAUGUAAUUUUAAUGAUUAUUUUAUUUGAAAUAAACAAAUGAAAUUA